rnacentral:rRNA from 1 species
GAUGAACGCUGGCGGCGUGCCUAAUACAUGCAAGUCGAGCGAACAGACGAGGAGCUUGCUCCUUCGACGUUAGCGGCGGACGGGUGAGUAACACGUAGGUAACCUACCUAUAAGACUGGGAUAACUUCGGGAAACCGGAGCUAAUACCGGAUAAUAUUUCGAACCGCAUGGUUCGAUAGUGAAAGAUGGCUUUGCUAUCACUUAUAGAUGGACCCGCGCCGUAUUAGCUAGUUGGUAAGGUAACGGCUUACCAAGGCAACGAUACGUAGCCGACCUGAGAGGGUGAUCGGCCACACUGGAACUGAGACACGGUCCAGACUCCUACGGGAGGCAGCAGUAGGGAAUCUUCCACAAUGGGCGAAAGCCUGACGGAGCAACGCCGCGUGAGUGAUGAAGGUCUUCGGAUCGUAAAACUCUGUUAUUAGGGAAGAACAAACGUGUAAGUAACUGUGCACGUCUUGACGGUACCUAAUCAGAAAGCCACGGCUAACUACGUG